ACCAGGUUGAAGGAUGACGGGUGCCCAGAU
rnacentral:piRNA from 1 species